AUGGAUUCACAGGCCCGGGUCCUCAUGUUGCUGCUGCUAUGGGUAUCUGGUACCUGUGGGGACAUUGUAAUGUCUCAGUCUCCAUCCUCCCUGACUAUGUCAGCAGGAAAGAAGGUCACUAUGAGCUGCAAGUCCAGCCAGAGCCUUUUAGCUAGUGGCAACCAAAAGAACUACUUGGCCUGGUACCAGCAAAAACCAGGAUAGUCUCCUAACCUGGUGAUCUACUAUGCAUCCACUAGAGUACCUGAUCUGUGGUACCUGAUCGCUUUAUAGGCAAUGGAUUUAGGACAGAUUUCACUCUGACCAUCAGAAGUGUGCUGGCUGAAGACCUGACAGUUUAUUACUGUCAACAUUUUAGCUUUCCUAC